CCUACGGGUGGCAGCAGUCGAGAAUCAUUCACAAUGGGGGAAACCCUGAUGGUGCGACGCCGCGUGGGGGAAUGAAGGUCUUCGGAUUGUAAACCCCUGUCAUGUGGGAGCAAAUUAAAAAGAUAGUACCACAAGAGGAAGAGACGGCUAACUCUGUGCCAGCAGUCGCGGUAACACAGAGGUCUCAAGCGUUGUUCGGAAUCACUGGGCGUAAAGCGUGCGUAGGCUGUUUCGUAAGUCGUGUGUGAAAGGCGCGGGCUCAACCCGCGGACGGCACAUGAUACUGGGAGACUAGAGUAAAGGAGGGGGAGGCGGAAUUCUCGGUGUAGCAGUGAAAUGCGUAGAUAUCGAGAGGAACACUCGUGGCGAAGGCGGGUUCCUGGACAUUAACUGACGCUGAGGCACGAAGGCCAGGGGAGCGAAAGGGAUUAGAUACCCCUGUAGUC
rnacentral:rRNA from 1 species